rnacentral:tRNA from 1 species
GGGCCCAUAGCUCAGCGGUUAGAGCUUCCGACUCAUAAUCGGCAGGUCCCAGGUUCGAAUCCUGGUGGGCCCA